rnacentral:rRNA from 1 species
AACGAACGCUGGCGGCAUGCCUAAUACAUGCAAGUCGAACGAGAUCUCCGGAUCUAGUGGCGCACGGGUGCGUAACGCGUGGGAAUCUACCCUUGGGUUCGGAAUAACGUCGGGAAACUGACGCUAAUACCGGAUGAUGACGUAAGUCCAAAGAUUUAUCGCCCAAGGAUGAGCCCGCGUAGGAUUAGCUAGUUGGUGGGGUAAAGGCCUACCAAGGCGACGAUCCUUAGCUGGUCUGAGAGGAUGAUCAGCCACACUGUGACUGAGACACGGCCCAGACUCCUACGGGAGGCAGAAGUAGGGAAUAUUGGACAAUGGGGGCAACCCUGAUCCAGCAAUGCCGCGUGAGCGAUGAAGGCCUUAGGGUUGUAAAGCUCUUUUACCCGAGAUGAUAAUGACAGUAUCGGGAGAAUAAGCCCCGGCUAACUCCGUGCCAGCAGCCGCAGUAA